UGCCCAGCAACUCCUAUCCCUACCUCCACGCGGUACCGGCCGGAAACUAUGAGCAACCUUAGGGAAGAUUGGGUAACCAGCCCCGGUGGGAACUUUGGUCGUAGGCUGACAGGGAAGG
rnacentral:ribozyme from 1 species